rnacentral:rRNA from 1 species
AGAGUUUGAUCAUGGCUCAGAACGAACGUUGGCGGCGUGCCUAACACAUGCAAGUCGAGCGGGCGCAGCAAUGCGUUUAGCGGCGUACGGGUGAGUAACACGUGAGUAACCUGCCCCCGGGAUGGGGAUAACGGUCCGAAAGGACUGCUAAUACCGGAUAAGCCCUUCGGGGGAAAGAUUUAUCGCCAGAGGAUCGGCCCGCGUUAGAUUAGCUUGUUGGUGAGGUAAUGGCUCACCAAGGCUACGAUCUAUAGCUGGUCUGAGAGGAUGAUCAGCCACACUGGGACUGAGACACGGCCCAGACUCUUACGGGAGGCAGCAGUGGGGAAUCUUGGACAAUGGGCGAAAGCCUGAUCCAGCCAUGCCGCGUGAAUGAUGAAGGCCCUAGGGUUGUAAAAUUCUUUCGACGGGGAAGAUAAUGACGGUACCCGUAGAAGAAGCACCGGCUAACUCCGUG